AUUGAACGCUGGCGGCAGGCCUAACACAUGCAAGUCGAACGAGUGGCGGACGGGUGAGUAAUGCUGGGGAACCUAGCUUAUGGAGGGGGAUAACUACGGGAAACUGUAGCUAAUACCGCGUACAAUAGGAUGAGUCCAAGUGGGAUUAGGUAGUUGGUGAGGUAAAGGCUCACCAAGCCGACGAUCUCUAGCUGGUCUGAGAGGAUGACCGGCCACACUGGGACUGAGACACGGCCCAGACUCCUACGGGAGGCAGCAGUAGGGAAUAUUGCGCAAUGGACGCAAGCUGACGCAGCCAUGCCGCGUGAGUGAAGAAGGCCUUCGGAUUGUAAAGUUCUGUCGGUAGCGAAGCGUUAACUACAGAAAAAGCACCGGCUAACUCCGUGCCAGCAGCCGCGGUAAUUC
rnacentral:rRNA from 1 species